UGCACAGCCCACAAAUUUUGUUAGGCUUUGUAGGGUCCACUAACUUUUAACUUGGAUUUGUUCAAUAAUUGUAAGUAAUUGCAAAUUCAAAUGUAAUUAAUGCUAAGUCAGAAAUUAAUUGUUUUUUUUUUUUACUCAGCUUACUCUCUUUGGAUUUUAUAUUGGAACCCCAAAGUAGUUCUGAACAUCUCAGAUGCAGAGUAUUUAUAAUAAUAAUGCAGUCUAACCAGACAGGGCCUCAAGGAGCACAUAGAGAAAUAUCUGUAAUGACAAUGAUUGCAUUAACGUUUAUCUAUUGAAGGAAGAUUUUAAAGGCACAACAAACCACUUCAUUAUGAAUAAUUGCAGUCUGCACAGUCAUUUACUUUAAAUUUAUUAGAUUCUUUAUAUCAUGUUGUACAGUACACCUCACAGACUUGCAUAGCAAUAAUCAAUACUAAUAACCUCACAAAUGGUCAUACUCAUUGGAUCGGAGCAUAUGCCCAUUUUCUCUGUUGGAAGAAGUUAUUGUCCUGAUCAAACCAUUGUGUCCACAGGGGGAGAAGGGAAAGAAAGGCAAAAAAGGGCCUAAGGGGGAGAAAGGAGAACAGGGUGCCCCUGGAUUAGAUGCACCCUGCCCAUUGGGUCCGGACGGGCUCCCGAUGCCGGGGUGCUGGCAGAAGUGAUGAAAUCUAACCGAAACGCAUGGAGUUUGUAAAUAACGCCUCAUUUUUUUUUUUUUUUUGUAUUUAUAGUUUUUUAAAUUGAACAUAAAGAUUAUAUGAAUAUAUAAAGAACGCUCAUGAAGUUUACACGUAGCUGCUUCUACUCACCUGACGUAACAAGUGUUUGUCUUACAUCGGCGUUUUGGAGUCGGGGUACUUGGGGCAACCGCCUGGGCCGUGCCAGUUACCAUAGCUAGCAUGAGCCAAGGGCAAGGACUAGACUGGAUGUUAAGACCAAAACGGACUUACAGGGAGUCAGGAAGAGACGCUGGAGGGACUGGACUAACUACCACAUGGGAUAACAGACAUUGUCAUUUGUUCAUCUCAAGCAUUCAUUUCAAGUUCUUCAUCCCUCCAUGCCACACUACCAGCUCAAAAGACUAAAACAUUCAUGCCAACAAAAAUACAAAAAAAAUGAGCAUGAGUACUGUGCCAAACUAGGCGAAUAUAUGUAUGGAUAUACAUAUUGCUUUGUGGUGUGAUCCUAUUUAUGGCUUUCGAAACACUAACUGGCUGACGGUUCAUUCCAGCUUACUUAAAACAGAAGUACAAAGCUCUGAGUUUGUGAUCUUUUUUUUUCCUUUUGUCAUCUUCCAAAGGGAGUCACACCUUGGCUGGUGGCUUGAACAGAUUUGAUCACCAGGCAAUAGAGACGGGUCAUUCUUUUUCUUUAUUGUGGCGAUGCCCUCAAAGUUGGAGAUGCACGCUCCCCCUGGGCCAGCUCUCGUGCCGUGCUGGGUUUGCCGAGGAGCCCAUGUCCACUUACAACACGGUGUUGCAAACAGCACCAGUCAUUGGCUUAGGAGGGAGAUGUGGGCGUUUCACAGCCCUGUGUACAGCCUAUCAGAGUGUGGACUAAGUUCAGCAUCGACUUGGACCAUCGCUCUUUGGGGAAAGAUAGGUAAAUGUACCCUCGAUGCAGAAUUCCUCAGUGAGGGAAAGAGGCGUGUCACAGGAUGAAGUCCACAGUCAUCUCUUCAGAUACCAAAUAGGCCUCUUCAAUGAACUUUGGUCUUUGCUGAGAUACCUGAGUUUGAAUGUAGGGGGAAACAUCAAUACAAUCUACUGAGAUGAUGUCAAUGGAACUAUUAUUUUAAAUGUCUUUUUUUGCCAUUGUUAUUGUUUGAAUUUUUUUGUUGUUCAUUCCCUUUGUUGGAAAUACAAAUAUUUUAACAUGCUUUGAGUAAUAAGUACAGUCUGAUUAUUGAAGAAUGAUAAUCUAGUUAUGUACAAUACUACAGUAUUAAACCACAGUUGUAUUUGGUGUUUUAUGUUAUGAACAAUUAUUAUUUUUUGUUUGUUCAUUUGACGUACUAAAUGUUUUCAGCAGAGAUAGUUCCCAUAUACGGUAAUUUACAUUGAUCAUGGAGACUGACAAGAAACAUAGAUUACAAACUUGUAUGGAUUUUUAUCAAAAGUAUAAUUGGAAAAAAAUAUUUUUCGCUGAAAUAUAAAAUAGUGUGUCGCAGUUAAUGCCAAGAGCUCCGCAUCUGAAUUUUGUUAAUCGCUACAAUUAGGAUUAAUCCAGCCUUUGUUCAUUUUGUCGCAGAGAAUGUGCAGACUAUCUUCAACGUUAGUGUGUAACUGUAUAGAGACGUCACUUUUAAGGAAUGAGGAAGAUUUCUGAAAAGCUAUUUUAUUUCCACAGUAUGAGUUUCAGUUUACUGCUUUGGAACACAAGGGAGAAGUUGACCUUGACCUUGCAGCAAGCCGAACAUUAUUUAGUUUUAUUUUUUUGCUGUCCAAAAUGCAAUUCCUGGCUUUACACCUACAGUAAACAAGAUUUCAACAGAAACUGUACAGUUUCAAAAAAUUGGUCCUUUGAAGGCUAGUUUAAAGCAGCGGAAGAAUGUAUUGCAUUAAUCACAGUUCUUUUCAUAUGUGAGGAAGUUGUGUCUCAAUAGCACAGUGUCAAAAUGGUCCACCAGACCAUUCUGAAUUAGGGGAUUUAAUCAAAGUUUCAAUGGUACAUUUUAAUGGUACAGUCUUUUUGGACAGCAACUGACAAGGGUCAGUCAGAGUGGGAUGUUAAUGGUAGAUAUUCCAUACAUUAAUAUUACUCCAGAGAGGACAAAAUUAAUCAAUUUAAUGAGUGGAUUUUGACUCAUACUGAAGCUAGUUUUGCAUGGCAAAUUUGUUACCUUACAUUCCAGUGCAGGCUGUAGGUUGUUUAUUUCAGUUAAGUAUAAUCAUCUUACACCUUCAACAUUUUUUGUUUAAUUUGACCAUUUUAACUGUUUUAGCCAUGUCAAUCACCUGAAAGCAAACAGCCAUACUGACACAAUGGAAAUAACAGCAUGUAGUAAUUGUUCUUAAUGCCUGCACACCAUUUUCGCAUUAAAACUGAAGCAUAAAUGUACAAAUAAUGCUUAAAAUAAUGCUAAACUUUGAUGUUCAGUAAAUUUGAUUACUUUGUAUAUGCUUUACCAUGGUUCAAUGACUGAAUGACGCAUUCUUUCGGCAAUAUCGUUUUCCUUUUCGAUGUAAAUGUUUUUUUUUUUAAGCCUGAAAUGAUUUUCUUCUUUGGUGUUAGUAAUGGUGCUACCAGCUUCAGAAAGGCACUGAAGGAAAUGUCCUAGGUAUAACCAUUAAUCUAUCAGGCAAAGGAUAUUGUGUGUGUGCGUGUUUACGAUAAUUUAGCGUAUUGCAUAUACUUUUAUAUUUGUAUUGUGACUUUAAAUGGUACAUUAUUUAUUUUUAUACGUAUUCAUCAUAUUGGUUUUAAUCAGGCAUUCCUUGUGACAUGGGGUAUUCAAGGUCCUUAUACCAGCACGUUUAUUUCUGUUUCCUAAUUUAAUUUAUCAGAGUCUAUGGAAAUGACCUCACAUUUGGAAAGGACACACAUGCAUCCUAAACUGCUAUUUUACUGUAAUCGAAUAAUACAGUAAUUCACCGUUCUCUUGUGGAGUAAUCUGAUUGUUGGUGAAGGACACAUUAGAAUGAUGUGGUCAAUAUUCAUUAUGUAUUGCAUAACGUUAUACAGAGCAUUUUAUGUCCAAUAUUGGUUUGACUUUUGUACCGUCAACAUAAUUAACUGUAGACGUUGAAUAUUAUACAUUGAAUAAAAGGUAUAUUGCUGUGGAGGUUGCAUCACAUGACCAAGGUCAUAUGAUUUAUCAAUUCAAUGACAGUGAGAGUCUUCCAGCUCUAGGUUUGUCGUGGAAACUCAGCUGUAUGGUUUCUGGGUGGGUUCUACAUUUCCAUUGUUAUGAAUUAUGGGUACAGCUUUGGCAUUUCUUCAACAACUCUGCGUGGUACUCCUGUGUGAAAACAAAGACUGGUCCACCAUUCAAAACCAGGCAUUUUCCCAUUACAUACACACACAUAUAUAUAAUGCCAUGUAUCUGCCCAAUACACAAUUAUAGGCAAAUUCCAGAGUUUCAAACUGUUUUUUUUUCUUGGAGCAUUAAUAAAUCACCUGUAACUGUCUAGGAUAAUGAUAAAUCACCUACACAGACAUUUUUUUGUUGAGACAGUGGUUCUUCUGUUGUGUACUGAUUUCUCUUUUAUUUCAAUUUCAUUCUUUGUCUUGGAAUUGAAUGUAGAUUUUGAACUUGUCGAGGUACAGAUAUGUGACUCAGUAUUCAUUAAUGUGAGGGAAGAAAAGACAAACAUGGGAGUGUCUUGUACAUAUUUACCUGAUUACAUGAAUACCAUACAUUCUCAACUGCAGCUGCAUUUGUACAUACAAUUGUAAUUACAGUUGUGUUACACUCACUGUAUCAUUGUUUGGUGAAAAGGUAAUUGCAUUUGGUUGUGAAGGUUAGCUCUUACAAUUAAAGUCACCAGCCAAUUUGUUUGCUUUCUGGGCCUUUGUAAUUCUGGCUCCUCACAAAGAUCCAUCCUCAGCACAACCGAAUUUAAUUCUACGCCUUCCUUCACUGGAAUUUCCCUGAUGCAUUUAUUGAAUUGUCUGCCAGUCUUUCUGAACUUCACACCAAGUAAGGUCCCUGACAACCUCGGGGUAAUCUGCAUGACAAAAAUAGAGUUGUGUGUUGAAUUUUAUCACCGUUUGCCUACAAUAUGUUCCGCUGUUUCUAUGUGAGUCCCCUGCCACCACCCCCCUUCCAUUAACAUUAUAUAACGUUUUGUUAUAAUUCACUACUGCAGCAGAAUUUGAGCUGUCUGAUUUUUUCUCCAUUGGUGUUAUUCCUCUUAAUAGUAUUUCCUUUGGCAGUAAUCCAAAGCUCAGAAUUUGUAUUUAAUGUUGUCGUUCCCAAUGCUGUUCUCUGGCUGUGAACCUUGUGCAUGCUGGUACACAUCAUCACACUGUAAAAUGUCCAUAUCCAGAGAUCUAUGGUGAGUAUUCAGACUUUUGAGUUCUCAGUUCAUAUAAAGUGCAUUCAGAGCUGAGGAUAAUGAUCUGUGAACUUAGUCUUGGCCACGUUGUUAGAGCUGAAGGCCACGCUGUGCAAACAAGGUGACACAUGAAUGUCAUUUUUCUGUCCAACGUAACUCUUUAAAAGUUUUGUUUUAGGGUCUUGGGUUGAGCACUCAGUUUAUUUUCCUUCUUUGUAUUUGGUUUAAUUUGUUAUCAACAUCCAUCUUUUUCGUUUUCAUUCUUAAUGUUUGUAUUUUUCGGUUUGCUGAUGCUUCCAGAUUUGGCAAUUAUUUCACAUUAUUUCAGAGGCAUUUCAUGAGGCUGUACUGUUGGAACCAAAUAAAUUCACUUUUACAUCUUUCAAA